GUGGCAUAAAGCCAUUGAUGUAGUUCAAGAAAAAUAGCGAUUUUGUUGGUAUACCAAUAGAAAAUUCCAAGAACAAUGGUAAAAUAAUGUUUCCAGGACAAAAUUGCUAGUUUAAGAAGAGGGCAGAUAUACAAAUGCUUUAUUGAAAGCUUCAACCCUUAUAGAAAAAUAAGUACAAAUUACACUACUAUUAAAGUUUUAAAUGCACUUAUGAUAGUAAAGAUAAUUAUUAUGAUCAGAAGUAAAGCAGAAAGAACAAUUGACAGAAUCCCUUUGUCAGCUGGGCAUGGUGGCUCACACCUGUAAUUCCAGCACUUUGGGAGGCCGAGGCAGGUGGAUCACCUGAGGUGAGGAGUUCAAAACUAGCCUGGCCAACAUGGUGAAACCCCGUCUCUACUAAAAAUAAAAAAAAUUAGCCGGGCAUGGUGGCAUGCACCUGUAAUCCCAGUUACUCAGGAGGCUGAGGCAGGAGAAUCGCUUGAACCCAGGAGGUGGAGGUUGCAGGGAACUGAGAUUACACCACUGCACUCCAGCCUACAGAGUAAGACUCUGUCUCAGAAAAUAAAAGAAAAAAAAGAAUCUCUUUGUCAACCGAUAAGGUUGGAUAUUGUAUCAGCAGCAUAUAAUAUGGAAGAACAAUUACUGUCUGGAGAGUGCUAGCGGAUAUUUCACUCUAUGGUUAAGUGAAAUUUAUUUCAGUAUAUGUGAGGGACAUAAAAGAAGGGAGAAGUGUAUGAGGUUGCUUGUUUUGUUUAUACUGAAAUACCAAGCUUCAGAGAAAGUUUUUUUCCAUUGACAUGACAAUGACUAUAAAUGUUAUCAUGGAGAUUGGAAAAGGCUCAUUGGUUUAGUACCCACAGAAUUUUAUGUGUAGCAGGGAAGAGCAUCUCAAAGUUAAUCAGAGAAUCCACACAUUGAUUUCGUCACAGAAAAGAGUAGGUGGUUGAUUUAAUGUUCAGGAAAAUUGAAAAAAAUUGCAAAUAUAACUAAAUGAUGACCACUGAAAUUGCAUACUUUCAGAAAUAUAUAGAGAAAUGAGUAGGAAGGAAAAGUCUGCUUUUCUGGGGAAGGAUGCUCACACACAUUUUAAAAAAGGAUUUGACUCUUUCCUAGAGACUGAUGACUUUCUGUACUUAUCAGAGACAGAAAUCAAUGACAUAUUACUAGGCAUAUUUAAAAAUCAUGUCGAACAUCUAUGACAGAACAUGAAAAGGGUAGAUUAUAGAAGAAAGCUGUGGCCAGUGCUGUUAAUUGCCUACCCAAUAGUUAUUCUUUCCUUUCCCCUCACUUAUAGAGCCAUCAUUUGUUCAGGGCAGCCCCAGGAGAUGCAUAGCAACUGUUGGAGGUGGAAGGACAUACACAGAUUGUAUACAACAAAAUUGUCCUAACCAUUUGCCCUUGUCCUGGAUCUAAGAUAAUGAUAGUCAUUCCAUUCCCCUUUGCUUGCAGAUAGCGGUGGCCAUGUGACACUGCUCUGGCAAUGAGACAUAGGGUGAGGUAUUUGGGGCCUCUGGGAAAGCCUAAGGAUGAAAAGCUAAUGUACUGAGGAUAAUAGAAGAAAGAUAUAGAGUCUGCAUUCUUGAUAAUACCCCUGAGCCACUGAACCAAGCCAGAACAACCUCUGGAAGAACUGCUUGUUAUAUGAGAAAAAUAAACCACUCUUUGUUUCAGCCAGCCUUACUGAGUAUUUAUUACUUGCAGCCAAAACCCUUUUUUAACAGAUACAUAAGUGUACCAAUUAUUUAGGAGGAAAAUACUUGCCCAACUGUCUAAAUAGAGCAGCUAUUAUCUAUUAAUAUUGAUGUUGUUACUCCCAGAUUUUUCUGUAUGUGUCAUGGUACGUAAAAUUAGGUUCAUCCCAUAUCGACAUACAGUGGGCAGCUGGGGAGCUGAGACUUCUAAUAGUGUAUCUGGCAUUGCUAUGUUGUAAGUGGAGAAAGCAAGUCAAUAUGAAGUAAUUUUGUCAUAAGGUCAGAAUCAUUUGAGUAAUCUUCCUUUUUUAUUAUAAGUAAGGCAGGAUAUUUACAUUGCUCUACCCAAAGUUUGUAACAACACAUUUUUUUCUGUCUUAGGAUGUCUCUCCAUCCUGACAAUUCCAGAAUGCAGAGCAUGUGGAGUGAGUGUACUGCUUUGCUAAGAGUUCCAGACAUUCUCUGACAGGGGAGUUAUCAAGGCCCCAACUUUUUUUCCUGAGACUCAAGUUAGGGAAAUCUGUUGGGAUGGACUGAGGUAGCUCAGACCAAAGCCCAGUUGUAAGGAAAGGUAACAAAGCCAGUGGAAUAAACUGACUAGAUGCUUAAAAUUGGCAGAAGCAAUGCCUGAGGCCAGAAUUAAGAAGAAAACAAAGGGGGAUGGUGGUAGAACCUGACCUUCCCAGUCCUCCUGGGAGCUCAUGUAUACCUGGGGCAAUAGCUGUGUAAAUGAAUCAAAAUUUCUGUAACCUUGAGAACCCUGGCCAGGUUGGUGUGGAGCCAUUUUGAUCUGAAAAAACACUAAAGAAUGAGUAUUUCUUCUCAAGAACGAACACCACAAAGGUAGGAGUCUUACAAAGGGAAUCUACCGAGUGACUCCCUUUGUGGAUUGUUAAAAUGCUUUUCUAUCCAUAUAGGCCUAAAGUUUUUGAUAUAAGUUCAUCUGCUAGCUAGUUAUAAGACUUUGGAUAAUUUGAUGAACUACUCUGGGUCUCUUUUUCUUCAAGCGUAAAAUGCUGACUCACUAAAGUUUCUCCUGAAGUUUUGAAAUGAGGAAUGAGAUACAUUUAAUGUAUGAUUUUUUUUAUUGAAAAGUCUAAAAUACAACAGUAAGAUUGAGCUGUUAAUUUGGUUAGCAUACACUAAGUUGCCAUUUAGGACUGAAUGGCACAGAACUGCAAAUGCCUACAUUUAAUAUUUUUAAAAGUUCACAGCAUAAACUAGUGUUUAAAUUUUGCUUUUGUUUGGUGAGAAAUAGCUUGAUUUGACAUAUUCCAUACAGCCUAUCUUUUAAAAGUAUUUACUUUUUUUUUUUAAAGAAGAAUCUUUCCUGGUCGUAGAUUUAUGGUUAUCAAUUAAAUGUUAUAGCACAGUUUGUAUCUCAUUUCAUUCAUUCCUGUACACACUCCCUCUAGUGGCUCAAGCUACUUAUUUACUGAACAUUCCAGAGCCACUUAGUUUCUAGCUGUCCUGUACUGAUGCUUAAAUUUGUUCUCUCAUAGCCUUUCCUCAUCUAUUCAGAACCUCAUCUAUUCAGAACCUCAUCUACUCAGAAUUUAAAAACAUUAUUUAAGAAGAGACAAGGAAAAAAAGAUGGAGGGAUGAUUUUUGUGCCAUUUCAGGGUGACAGAAAAGGAAACAAGGAGAGCUGGAAUUGACCUGGAUCCUUGUGGGAAAUACUUCAGUGAUGGAUGGAAGCAGAGGGAGAAAGGACCAAAAUGAAGCCAGGAGGGACAAGAUGGCUGGAAUGUUUGGUUCUGAGGAUUCAUGAUUGUCCUUAACUCACACGGACUGAACUCUCGCUUGCCUGUCUUCCUGGGGCUUGUGUAAGAACAUCCUGCAGAAAAGUAUUAACAACGCGAGUGAUCUUCACUGUGUUUAACGAUUCAUUGAUUGUAAAAGAUGUUUUACCUGGGAUAACAAUGAGUGUGUAUUCCUGGAGCCUAAACUCACUGACCUGGAAGGGGGCCCCGAGAAGUGUGCUAAGUGGACAAAGGAAGCCUGGCUAGAGUUUAUAGUUUUCUAACUAGAUAAUUGAGUGAACUAAAAGGUCUUUUAUUAUCCUUAUGUGGAUUACGUACUUUGCAGGAUAUGCAUAGUCAUUAUUAAAACCAUGUGUACUCCUGUCUCACUUCUGAGCACCUUCUCUGAAAUCAGUCCAUAUAUGCUCAGGAAUGCAAACCACACUCAUUUCAGAGUCAGUGUCAACAAACAUAAUUAAGGAGGCAAAUUUACUUCAUAAGUUUUCUAAUGCCUUCUGCAUUAAAUAGAAAUGACUUUUGGCUGCUCCCAUCUAUUCAUGUGUAUAAUUGUUAAGUUCAGAUCUGAUUUUCCUGGAAGAACAAGUUUGAAUCUCAACAGGCUUGAUCUAGUCUCCCAUCUCCAUGUUCCCCAUAGUGACAGGUAAUUCAUGGAAAUUACUGUCUCAGCAUUUUAAAUAAACCUCCUUUAAGCUGAAAUCAAGAUGAUCUCAUAUAGAAAAGAGUGUAGGUAAAACUCAUAUUUAAGAAAUGGUACAGAGUGAGCAGAAAUUCUCACAGAAUUUUUGAGUCAGAAAUAUUUUUGUUAUACGGGAAAAAGGGACUUGCAGUUGUGCUCUUGAUUAUAAAAAGAAAGGAAAUCAAAUAGCUUUGAAAUGUUCCAUUAAAACCUUAUUUUAAUAUAUUCUUGCCACAAUGUAAGGACCUAUGUAAACUAAGUAAAAUUUCAUGACUCACACUGAGUUGCAUUUUGUAUCAUUUUCUUGUCUUCAUUGCUAUUUCUUUUCUUUUCUUUUUUUUUUUUUUUUCUCGAGACAGAGUCUCACUUUGUUGCCAGGCUGGAGUGCAGUAGCGUGAUCUCAGCUGACUGCAAUCUCCACCUCCCAGGUUCAAG
rnacentral:lncRNA from 1 species